CUCUGUAAUUUGGAUCUCCAUAUCUAAAAUUAAUUUAAAUAUUAAACACACCCAAUACGAUUGUUUUGCUUCUAAUAAGGAUUAAGUAUAUCUUAGUUGGAAUCCAAUAGAAGGAACUGUUCUAUUACAGCGAAAAACAAAUUCAAUUUUGAAAAUCUGAAUUAUUUGAUCAAAAUGGAGCUUUCUUAAUAACAGGUUUCUAAAUAAUGGAUCUCAUACCUGUACAUUGUAAGUAUGUCUCCAGCUAUUGUAAAAUUACAAUUCUCAGAACUCAUAUCAGCUUCUGAUUUUAUGUAUAGAAGAAAUCUAACAACUGUUAGACAAUGCAGCGGCCAUUUUUAUGCUAUAUCUAUACUUACAACAUUGUUAUUGCCAUUGAACAACAGAUCGGAAUUCUCUGCAAGAAACUGUAAAGAGCGGAUAAGGCUCAGUAUGAAAUGGUUCAGAACUACGAAUGGCAACUCCAAGAGCUAAAAUAUCAGCUGUGUAAGUUGAAGAAAAGUUAUGAGAAGCUCCAUUUGCACCAAGAGAAGCAACAAAAGAAUUAAACUGCUGAGCGGGGUGCAGAGCAGGAGAGGAGCCGGCAUGAGCGCCAAUGGCUGACUCAGAAGCUGGAGGCAAAAGGAGCCCCCCCCCAUAAAAUUUAUUGUCUAUCAAU